rnacentral:rRNA from 1 species
UUCCCGGGCCUUGUACACACCGCCCGUCAAGCCAUGGAAGCCGGGGGGUGCCUGAAGUGCGCUGCCGCAAGGAGCGUCCUAGGGUAAAACCGGUGACUGGGGCUAAGUCGUAACAAGGUAGC